rnacentral:rRNA from 1 species
CCUACGGGUGGCUGCAGUGGGGAAUAUUGGGCAAUGGGCGCAAGCCUGACCCAGCAACGCCGCGUGAAGGAAGAAGGCUUUCGGGUUGGAAACUUCUUUUGUCAGGGGAGAGUAGAAGACGGUACCUGACGAAUAAGCCACGGCAAACUACGUGCCAGCAGCCGCGGUAAUACGUAGGUGGCAAGCGUUGUCCGGAUUUACUGGGUGUAAGGGGCGUGUAGCCGGGUUGAAAAGUCAGUGGUAAAAUCUGGGGGCUAAACGGCAGAACGGCUUUGAAACCGGUUUACUUGAGUUAUGGAGAGGCAGGCGGAAUGCCUAGUGUAGCGGUGAAAUGCGUAGAUAUUAGGAGGAACACCAGGGGCGAAGGCGGUCUGCCGGAUAGCAACUGACGGUGAGGCGCGAAAGCGUGGGGAGCAAACAGGAUUAGAUACCCGAGUAGUC